UACGAAGGGGGCUAGCGUUGUUCGGAAUCACUGGGCGUAAAGGGCGCGUAGGCGGCUUUGUAAGUCGGGGGUGAAAGCCUGUGGCUCAACCACAGAAUUGCCUUCGAUACUGCAUGGCUUGAGACCGGAAGAGGUAAGUGGAACUGCGAGUGUAGAGGUGAAAUUCGUAGAUAUUGGGAAGAACACCGGUGGCGAAGGCGGCGACCUGGUCCGAUACUGACGCUGAGGCACGAAAGCGUGGGGAGCAAACAGG
rnacentral:rRNA from 1 species